AUGGUGGUGAAAAAAUUGAGAAGCUGGAUACUAAAGAGAAGGAACCCGAAGCCACGAAGGCUGAUGCUGGUGGUAAGGUGAAAACGGGUAACUUCAAGGCUAAAAGCCCCAAGAAGGGGAAGCUCCACUGUGGCCAAAAUCCUAUCCUUAUUAGAGGAAUUGGCAGAUAUUCCUCAUCUGCUAUAUAUUCCAGAAGUGCCAUGUACAAGAGGAAGUACUCAGCCAAUAAAUCCAAGGUUGAAAAGAAAAAGGAGAAAGUUCUUGCAACUGUUACAAAACCAGUUGGUGGUGAGAAGAAUGGUGGUAACCUAGGUGGUUAAACUUCACAAAAUGCCUAGAUAUUAUCCUACUGAAGAUGUGUCUCAAAAGCUGCUGAGCCACAGCAAAAACCUUCAGUCAGCAUGUGACAAACUGCGAGCCAGCAUCACCCCAGGGACCAUUCUGAUCAUCCUCUCUAGGUGUCACAGAGGCAAGAGAAUGGUUUUCCCGAAGCAGCUGGCUACCGGCUCGUUACUUUGACUGGACCUCUGGUCCUCAAUUGAGUUCCUCUAGAAGAACACACCAGAAAUUUGUCAUUGCCACCUCAACCAAAAUUGGUAUCUGCAAUGUAAAAAUCUCAAAACAUCUUACUGUUGCUUACUUCAAGAAGAGGCAGCUGCAGAAGCCCAGAUAUCAAGAAGGUGAUAUCUUCGACACGGAAAAAGAGAAAUGACCAGUGCAAGGUUGAUCAGAAAGCUGUGGACUCAAAUUUUAACAAAAAUCAAAGCCAUUCCUCAGCUCCAGGGCUACCUAUAAUCUGUGUUUGCCCUGACAAAUAAAAUUUAACCUCACAAAGUGGUGCUCUAA
rnacentral:lncRNA from 1 species